AGAAUCAACGCUGGCGGCGUGCCUAACACAUGCAAGUCGCACGAGAAAGGGUAGCAAUACCUGAGUACAGUGGCGCACGGGUGAGUAACACGUGAAUAAUCUACCUCCGAGUGGGGAAUAACUGAGAGAAAUCUUAGCUAAUACCGCAUAAUACCCACGGGUCAAAGCAGCAAUGCGCUUGGAGAGGAGUUCGCGGCAGAUUAGUUAGUUGGCGGGGUAAUGGCCCACCAAGACGAUGAUCUGUAUCCGGCCUGAGAGGGCGCACGGACACACUGGAACUGAAACACGGUCCAGACUCCUACGGGAGGCAGCAGUGGGGAAUUUUUGCGCAAUGGGGGAAACCCUGACGCAGCAACGCCGCGUGGAGGAUGAAGCCCCUUGGGGUGUAAACUCCUUUCGAUCGGGAAGAUAAUGACGGUACCGAUAUAAGAAGCCCGGCUAACUUCGUGCCAGCAGCCGC
rnacentral:rRNA from 1 species